rnacentral:sRNA from 1 species
GCGGAGGAAAAGAAACCAACAGGGAUUGCCUCAGUAACGGCGAGUGAAGCGGCAACAGCUCAAAUUUGAAAUCUGGUCACCUUACGGAGGCCCGAGUUGUAAUUUGAAGAGGAUGCUUUUGGCGAGGUGCCUUCCGAGUGCCCUGGAACGGGACGCCGCAGAGGGUGAGAGCCCCGUAUGGUUGGACACCGAGCCUAUGUAAAGCUCCUUCGACGAGUCGAGUAGUUUGGGAAUGCUGCUCAAAAUGGGAGGUAAACCCCUUCUAAAGCUAAAUAUUGGCCAGAGACCGAUAGCGCACAAGUAGAGUGAUCGAAAGAUGAAAAGCACUUUGAAAAGAGAGUUAAACAGCACGUGAAAUUGUUGAAAGGGAAGCGCUUGCGACCAGACUUGCGCCCGUCGGAUCAACCGUCGCUUGUCGGCGGCGCACUCCGGCGGGCUCAGGCCAGCAUCAGUUUUCCCGGGGGGAGAAAGGCGGUGGGAAUGUAGCUCCUAGGAGUGUUA